rnacentral:rRNA from 1 species
UAAGACGAAGGGAGCGAGCGUUGUUCGGUAUCACUGGGCUUAAAGGGCACGUAGGCGGCUUGAUGUGUCGGUUGUGAAAUCCCUGGGCUCAACUCAGGAAUUGCUUCCGAAACUAUCAGGCUUGAGGCAUUCUGAAGGUGACUGGAACUCUUGGUGGAGCGGUGACAUGCGUAGAUAUCAAGAGGAACGCCGGCGGUGAAGACGGGUCACUGGGGAUGUCCUGACGCUGAGGUGCGAAAGCUAGGGGAGCGAACGGGAUUAGAUACCCCGGUAGUCCUAGCCGUAAACGAUGUGCACUAGGUCGCGGAGGUUCUGACGCCGUCGCGGCCGAAGCAAAAGUGUUAAGUGCACCGCCUGGGGAGUACGGUCGCAAGGCUA